UACUCUGCUGACGAGCGGCGGACGGGUGAGUAAUGCUUGGGAAUAUGCCUUAUGGUGGGGGACAACAGUUGGAAACGACUGCUAAUACCGCAUGAUGUCUACGGACCAAAGUGGGGGACCUUCGGGCCUCACGCCAUAAGAUUAGCCCAAGUGGGAUUAGCUAGUUGGUGAGGUAAUGGCUCACCAAGGCGACGAUCCCUAGCUGGUUUGAGAGGAUGAUCAGCCACACUGGGACUGAGACACGGCCCAGACUCCUACGGGAGGCAGCAGUGGGGAAUAUUGCACAAUGGGCGCAAGCCUGAUGCAGCCAUGCCGCGUGUGUGAAGAAGGCCUUCGGGUUGUAAAGCACUUUCAGUAAGGAGGAAAGGUUAAGUGUUAAUAGCACUUAGCUGUGACGUUACUUACAGAAGAAGCACCGGCUAACUCCGUGCCAGCAGCCGCGGUAAUACGGAGGGUGCGAGCGUUAAUCGGAAUUACUGGGCGUAAAGCGUACGCAGGCGGUUUGUUAAGCGAGAUGUGAAAGCCCCGGGCUCAACCUGGGAACUGCAUUUCGAACUGGCAAACUAGAGUGUGAUAGAGGGUGGUAGAAUUUCAGGUGUAGCGGUGAAAUGCGUAGAGAUCUGAAGGAAUACCGAUGGCGAA
rnacentral:rRNA from 1 species